UACGUAGGUGACAAGCGUUGUCCGGAUUUACUGGGCGUAAAGGGCGCGUAGGCGGUUCGUUAAGUCCUGUGUGAAAUCCCCCGGCUCAACUGGGGAACUACACAGGAAACUAGCGGGCUUGAGUUCGGGAGAGGGAAGCGGAAUUCCGGGUGUAGCGGUGAAAUGCGUAGAUAUCCGGAGGAACACCGGUGGCGAAGGCGGCUUCCUGGACCGACACUGACGCUGAGGCGCGAAAGCUAGGGGAGCAAACGGG
rnacentral:rRNA from 1 species